rnacentral:rRNA from 1 species
CCCUUAGAUGUCCGGGGCUGCACGCGCGCUACACUGAAGGAAUCAGCGCGCUAGAAAACCUUGUUUGACAUGGCUAGGUAACCCGUUGAAAAUCUUUCGUGAUUGGGAUCGGGACUUGCAAAUGUGUCCCUUGAACGAGGAAUUCCCAGUAAGUGCGGGUCAUAAGCUCGCGCUGAUUACGUCCCUGCCCUUUGUACACACCGCCCGUCGCUGCCCGGAACUGAGCCGUUUCGAGAAGACUGGGGACUGCGAACUUUGGGCUGGAAAACAGCUUUUUGUUUGUGGAAGCCACUUUAAUCGCAGCGGCUUGAACCGGGCAAAAGUCGUAACA